GUGCAGCAGGCGAGAAUAGUCUACAAUGGACGAAAGUCUGAUAGUGCGACGCCGUGUGUGCGAUUAAUUCCUUCGGGAUGUAAAGCACUUUUCUAUGAGAUAAAAGCUCUUUAGGUUAAUAGCUUAUUGAGACGGAUAUUAUUAUAGGAAUAAGCUCCGGCUAACUCCGUGCCAGCAGCCGCGGUAAUACGGAAGGAGCGAGCGUUGUCCGGAUUUACUAGGCGUAAAGGGCUAGUAGGCGACUAAUUAAGUUAUAUGUUAAAUCCCACGGCUCAACUGUGGUCCUGCAUGUAAUACUGGUUAGAUAGAGUACUGUAGAGGAAGGCAGAAUUCCUGGAGUAGCGGUGGAAUGCGCAGACAUCAGGAAGAAUACCAAAAGCGAAGGCAGCCUUCUGGGCAGUUACUGACGCUGAAUAGCGAAGGUGUGGGUAGCGAACAGGAUUAGAUUACCCCUGUAGU
rnacentral:rRNA from 1 species